rnacentral:rRNA from 1 species
AUUGAACGCUGGCGGCAGGCCUAACACAUGCCAGUCGAACGGUAACAGGAAGCAGCUUGCUGCUUCGCUGACGAGUGGCGGACGGGUGAGUAAUGUCUGGGAAGCUGCCUGAUGGAGGGGGAUAACUACUGGAAACGGUAGCUAAUACCGCAUAAUGUCGCAAGACCAAAGAGGGGGACCUUCGGGCCUCUUGCCAUCGGAUGUGCCCAGAUGGGAUUAGCUUGUUGGUGGGGUAACGGCUCACCAAGGCGACGAUCCCUAGCUGGUCUGAGAGGAUGACCAGCCACACUGGAACUGAGACACGGUCCAGACUCCUACGGGAGGCAGCAGUGGGGAAUAUUGCACAAUGGGCGCAAGCCUGAUGCAGCCAUGCCGCGUGUAUGAAGAAGGCCUUCGGGUUGUAAAGUACUUUCAGCGAGGAGGAAGGGAGUAAAGUUAAUACCUUUGCUCAUUGACGUUACCCGCAGAAGAAGCACCGGCUAACUCCGUG